rnacentral:tRNA from 1 species
GACAGUAUAGCUCAGUGGUAAAGCAUGUGUUUAGCAUGCAAAAGGUCCUGAGUUCAAUCCCAGUACUUCCA